rnacentral:rRNA from 1 species
GACGAACGCUGGCGGCGUGCCUAAUACAUGCAAGUCGACCUUAGUGGCGAACGGGUGAGUAACACGUGGGUAACCUGCCCAUCAGAAGGGGAUAACACUUGGAAACAGGUGCUAAUACCGUAUCCUGAUGGAUGGACCCUCGGGUGAUUAGCUAGUUGGUGAGGUAACGGCUCACAAAGGCCACGAUGCAUAGCCAGCCGGAGAGGGGGAUCGGCCACAUUGGGACUGAGACACGGCCCAAACUCCUACGGGAGGCAGCAGUAGGGAAUCUUCGGCAAUGGACGAAAGGCGGACCGAGCAACGCCGCGUGAGUGAAGAAGGUUUGCGGAUCGUAAAACUCUGUUGUUAGAGAAGCGGUAUCUAACCAGAAAGCCACGGCUAACUACGUGCCAGCAGCCGCGGUAAUUC